rnacentral:rRNA from 1 species
UACGAAGGGGGCUAGCGUUGUUCGGAAUCACUGGGCGUAAAGGGCGCGUAGGCGGCCUGAUAAGUCGGGGGUGAAAGCCUGUGGCUCAACCACAGAAUUGCCUUCGAUACUGUUAGGCUUGAGACCGGAAGAGGUAAGUGGAACUGCGAGUGUAGAGGUGAAAUUCGUAGAUAUUGGGAAGAACACCGGUGGCGAAGGCGGCGAUCUGGGUCGAUACUGACGCUGAGGUGCGAAAGCGUGGGGAGCAAACAGG